rnacentral:lncRNA from 1 species
GCACAGCUCCGGGCAGCGACCCGCGAUGCGGCAUCCUUCCGUCCGGUCGGAGCCCUCCUAGCCCUCAGCGCGUCUAUUCCUAGCUUCGGUCCCCGCAGCCAUAUAAGCAAUGACACCCUCGCCGACUCGCCUGCCAGCUUGGCCGCCUCCCUGCAGAGGGCUGACGCUUCUCCAGAAGUUGUAAGAAAAGGAGGGAAAGCAGGCCAACCUCGAGGAUCUCCCCAGCCUUGGCGUUCAGGUGCUGAGGAGAUCGUCGAGGUUGGCCUGCUUCCCCUCACUCCUCGGGCCUUGCUCUUCCCCCAGGUGCCCACUGCCCUCCCUGCUGUGUACCACUUUCUUGCUGCCUGUGAAGAUAUAAGCUCCAUGAGAACAGCCACCUUGUUUACCUUGUUCAUGGAUACAGAACAGUGCCUGGUGCUCAAUAAAUGAACAGUGAGUGAAUAAGUGAGUGUUGAGUCAUCUAAGUGAGCUUAGAUGAACUGACAAUGAGACUGUGCACAAUGAAGAGAAAGGAGGACUCUUGAGGAAUUCCACCAGCUUGAAGAUGGCUGAAGAAAGAUGACAGAAAGCAAUCAGAGGGAUGGAGGGCAAACUAAGAAAGCAGAGUCAAGAGUAGGAAGAUUGGGAAGUGGUAGACAACAUUAGGAAAUACUGCAGAAAAACCUAAAAGGAUGAGAAUUAGGAAAGACACUAUUGAAUUUGGUCUUUGGGGCUGAAAAAAAAGGCAGCUGCAGAAAAGAAAUUGGAGUGGAACCCCAUUUGCACAGAAAUUAUGGAGUAAUUAGGACACCAGGCAGAAAGUUUGGCAAUGAAUGGAAGGAGAGAUGACAGCCUUGGGCAUUCGCUCGCAGAACGCAAGGACAUUCAUUCUUAAUUCAGUAGAAAAGUGUCGUGUUGUUACUGUCUCAAGUGGAAGCGCCCUCUCACUCCUUCAUUGUCCUAAGAGAACAAAAGGGGCCUUGAAUUUCAUGACUGCCCCAG